UGCCUUUGUGUUGCCCAUUCAUUUCCCAUUAGAUGAAUGUGGUGUCUACUUGGGCAUACAAUAAAUCUUGACGUGGCCUAAUUUGAGAGAACACCUAAUUGUUUCUCUUGCUUGUGCUAUGACAAGAACAGCU